rnacentral:rRNA from 1 species
AGUGAACGCUGGCGGUAGGCCUAACACAUGCAAGUCGAACGGCAGCACAGUAAGAGCUUGCUCUUACGGGUGGCGAGUGGCGGGCGGGUGAGGAAUACAUCGGAAUCUACUUUUUCGUGGGGGAUAACGUAGGGAAACUUACGCUAAUACCGCAUACGACCUACGGGUGAAAGCAGUGGAUCUUCGGACCUUGCGCGAUUGAAUGAGCCGAUGUCGGAUUAGCUAGUUGGCGGGGUAAAGGCCUACCAAGGCGACGAUCCGUAGCUGGUCUGAGAGGAUGGUCAGCCACACUGGAACUGAGACACGGUCCAGACUCCUACGAGAGGCAGCAGUGGGGAAUGUUGGACAAAGGGCGCAAGCCUGAUCCAGCCAUACCGCGUGGGUGAAGAAGGCCUUCGGGUUGUAAAGCCCUUUUGUUGGGAAAGAAAAGCAGCAGGUUAAUACGCCGCUGUUCUGACGGUACCCGAAGAAUAAGCACCGGCUAACUUCGUG